rnacentral:snRNA from 1 species
AUCUUUGCGCUCGGGGCAAUGACGCAGCUAGUGAGGUAAAACCGAGGCACGUCAAUUGCUGGUUGAAAACUAUUUCCAACCCCCCUCGUUGGCCUGGGCUACGCUUUGGCCUUCGAGAAU